UGUACGGAGAGUUUGAUCCUGGCUCAGGGCGAACGCUGGCGGCGUGCCUAAAACAUGCAAGUCGAGCGGGGGUUGGCCGCGGGGCAACCCGCGGUUUCAGCUCUAGCGGCGAACGGGUGAGUAACACGUGGGUAACCUACCCCGAAGACGGGGAUAACCCCGGGAAACCGGGGCUAAUACCCGAUGCCCUUCCCUGGGGGGCAUCCCUGGGGGAGGAAAGGGUUGGGCGCAAGCCCUUCCGCUUCGGGAUGGGCCCGCGGCCUAUCAGCUGGUUGGUGGGGUAACGGCCCACCAAGGCGAUGACGGGUAGCUGGCCUGAGAGGGUGGCCAGCCACAUCGGGACUGAGACACGGCCCGGACCCCUACGGGGGGCAGCAGCCGAGGAUCUUGGGCAAUGCCCGAAAGGGUGACCCAG
rnacentral:rRNA from 1 species